rnacentral:pre_miRNA from 1 species
UACAAUGUUUUAACUUUUCUUCUUAUUUAAAAUAUUUUUACGAUUAAUAUUUUUAUUUUUAUUGGAUGAUAAAAUAUGAAUAGUACUUUAUGUAUGCCUAACUUUUUUAAUUUUUUAUAUAAAAUUUUCAAAUAAGACGAAUUGUUAAGCGUUAGAUACGGAAAACGA